UACGAAGGGGGCUAGCGUUGCUCGGAAUCACUGGGCGUAAAGCGCACGUAGGCGGAUUGUUAAGUCAGGGGUGAAAUCCUGGAGCUCAACUCCAGAACUGCCUUUGAUAGUGGCGAUCUCGAGUCCGGGAGAGGUGAGUGGAACUGCGAGUGUAGAGGUGAAAUUCGUAGAUAUUCGCAAGAACACCAGUGGCGAAGGCGGCUCACUGGCCCGGUACUGACGCUGAGGUGCGAAAGCGUGGGGAGCAAACAGG
rnacentral:rRNA from 1 species